UCCUAAUGCUGUGACCCUCUGAUACAGUU
rnacentral:piRNA from 2 species